AAGUCGUAACAAGGUUUCCGUAGGUGAACCUGCGGAAGGAUCAUUAACACGUAUCCAAACGUUAAAACCCCCCCCGUGAACCUUCAUCCUGCUCUUGUAACCCGCGUAGUUCGCAAUCUCUGAUAAAUCAUAGCCCGGAAAGUUGUAGUGAUUCAGAGACCUCUGGCUACGUGCGAACAUUGGAACAGUUACAAUCGAGCGGUAGUUCUAUAGGCAAUGUUUCCCCAAGCAGUCAGUGUCGGAAAGUGUCAUUGAUUGUGCAAGGAUAGCGCUUCGAGCAGGAGCUUUGCCAAAGGGUCCCCAUGAUCCCUACACGUGCCGAUUUCUAUUAAAAGCUCCAUUUUCAAUUAGGUAAAACCGAACAACUGUUAACAAUGGAGAUCUUGGUUCUC
rnacentral:misc_RNA from 1 species